AUUGAACGCUGGCGGCAGGCCUAACACAUGCAAGUCGAGCGAGUGGCGGACGGGUGAGUAAUGUCUGGGAACUUGCUUGAUGGAGGGGGAAAACUACUGGAAACGGUACCUAAUACCGCAUACCCUCAGAUGUGCCCAGAUGGGAUUGGCUAGUUGGUGGGGUAACGGCUCACCAAGGCGACGAUCCAUAGCUGGUCUGAGAGGUUGACCGGCCACACUGGAACUGAGACACGGUCCAGACUCCUACGGGAGGCAGCAGUGGGGAAUAUUGCACAAUGGGCGCAAGCCUGAUGGAGCAAUGCCGCGUGUGUGAAGAAGGCCUUCGGGUUGUAAAGUACUUUCAUCGGGGAGGCGUUACCCGCAGAAGAAGCACCGGCUAACUCCGUGCCAGCAGCCGCGGUAAUUC
rnacentral:rRNA from 1 species